ACCCCAAUUUUCUUCCCAUCUUGUCACCAGCUAUCAACUCUUUUCUUUCCCUCCAAGCUCCCGAUCCUCUGGUGCAAGAAGAAGCAGAAGCCGCUGCCAUUCCAAGCUUCUAACAGCCUUCCAUUCUCAGCCAUUCACACCCCAAUCUUCAAGCUUCCAUUUCCAGCUUCCACCUCCAUUCUUGGCUGCUGUCUCGACCGAGCAAGGAGGAGGAAGAUCGCUGCUGCUGCUGCCGGCGUUGCGUCGGACCAGGGGAGAAGGAGAAACCAGCUGCCAUUUUUCUUUCCUCUAACCACAGAACCUUCCAAGCUGACUCAAAAACCCCAGACCCAAACUUCUCUUCACCUUAACGUUUGCUGCUGUGUUGCUGCUGUGGGUGGUCAGACCGAGAGGGAAACAGAGAGCAAGGGAGCCGGCUGACCCUCUGUGGUUCUAGGAGCAACUUGAGGAACUAGACAAUACCUUUAGCUAGUAAACAACCCACUUGAAGGAGUUGGUAAAGAGCACAAUCUCGAUCAAAGUUUGGAAUUCUAGACUCUUCACUUGAGGUUCUGAAUUGUAUGAAGUCUUGGAGAACUAGAAAAGAAAUGUUAUAUUUUGAAUGCCCACUUUUGUAUUUGUACUUUGGGAAAACUUUAGUAUCUUUUGGAUGACUUUGGUGUCUUUGGGAAAAUGUGAAUCCUGUGGUGCUUCUGUGCCCUGGAUUAGGAAUUUUUAAAUUGUAAAUUAAGUUGAAUUUAAGUAUUUUAAGUUCGACAUUUUCUUUGAUGCUUGAAAUUGUACUUUUGGACAGAGUAAGUUGAAUGGUACGGUUUGUUUAA